rnacentral:rRNA from 1 species
CAGUCGCCGCGGGAAUACAGAGGUCCCGAGCGUUGUUCGGAUUCACUGGGCGUAAAGGGUGUGUAGGAGGUUGGAUAAGUCAGGUGUGAAAUCCCGCAGCUCAACUGCGGAACUGCAUUCGAUACUGUUCAACUAGAGGAUCGGAGGGGGAAGCGGAAUUCUUGGUGUAGCGGUGAAAUGCGUAGAUAUCAAGAGGAACACCGGUGGCGAAGGCGGCUUCCUGGAAGAUACCUGACUCUGAAACACGAAAGCCAUGGGAGCGAAUGGGAUUAGAUACCCCGGUAGUCCCUGUCUCUUAUAC